rnacentral:lncRNA from 1 species
UUACACACAUGGUCAUAUUGGCAGCUAGUGGAAAAGCCGAACGAUCAUAAUUAUUUACCCGAUCCCAGAAAACAUCAAGGGGACCAUAAAAAGGAGUUUUCCUCAUCCCGUGAAGAAGUGGAUUUCCUUAGCGGUUCUUGGGUUUGUGGAACGCUCGUUAGAAUUGGCCUACAACAAUGGAUACUUGAUAUAAGAAUUCUACGUAAUAAGAAAAUAAAGUGGAAACAAUUGAAAUUAAGUGCUUACCAUUAUGAAAAGAGGAACGAUGAAACCCGACAAAGAUUUAGCCUGAAAAAGAGAGAUUAAGGACACUUGAAAAAAAGAAAGAACAAAUGGGCAAAAGAUGAAAAACCCCUAGGGUUCGCCCCCUAGAGUUCAGCCACCUAGGAUGGUCCCACUUUGAUACAUUGGCUCCUUUCGUGAUUCGUUAUUUUAUCUUUGAAACAAAAAGCCGUCUUGUGAUCCCAAAAGUAUUAUUUUUUUUUGAAAAUAUACGAGAGAAAAACCAAGAUAUAAUCAAGGUGAUAAGGCUUGGAAAAGAAAUAUUAGAGUUACCUGAAAGAAGGAAAAACAAGCCUGAAAGAACCUAAGCAUAAGAAACCAUGUGAGUAAACAUGCAAGAGAAGGAAAAGGAGAAUAAAAAUGAGAGGAGACAUCGAAACCCCCUAGGGUUCGUCCCCUAAGGUUCGUGGACUUAUGGUGGAGGUCUCUCCUUACCUUUUGUUCACUUCGGCUUGUUGAACGUCCGCUUGACUUUUUGAUAUCUCUUUGUUGAAGAAAGAAAGAAAGAAAUUCGAGGAAGAGAGAAAUUCCAAGAGAAUGGUAGAUGAAUAAGGAGAAGUAACACGUCAAACGCUACAUCUGUAAGCUCAAAAAACUACGUUUGAAAUAAAUUUAAACACAUCUAAAUCUUUAAACGCCCUAAAUAUUUUAUAAACGGAACAUGUGCAAUUGAAGCUGC